rnacentral:rRNA from 1 species
AUUGAACGCUAGCGGGAUGCUUUACACAUGCAAGUCGAACGAGUGGCGGACGGGUGAGUAAUAUAUCGGAACGUGCGCAGUAGCGGGGGAUAACUACUAGAAAGAGUGGCUAAUACCGCCAAAUAUGGGAGCGGGCGAUAUGGGAUUAGCGAGUUGGUGGGGUAAAGGCUCACCAAGGCAACGAUCCGUAGCUGGUUUGAGAGGACGAACAGCCAAACUGGGACGGAGACACGGCCCAGACUCCUACGGGAGGCAGCAGUGGGGGAUUUUGGACAAUGGACGAAACCCUGAUCCAGCCAUCCCGCGUGUAUGAGAAGGCCUUCGGGUUGUAAAGUACUUUUGGCAGAGAAGCGGUAUCUGCAGAAUAAGCACCGGCUAACUACGUGCCAGCCGCCGCGGUAAUAC